rnacentral:rRNA from 1 species
UACGGAGGGUGCAAGCGUUGUUCGGAAUCACUGGGCGUAAAGCGCGUGUAGGCGGCCUCCUAAGUCUGGUGUGAAAGCCCGGGGCUUACCCCCGGAAGUGCACUGGAUACUGGGAGACUAGAGUACCGGAGAGGAGGGUGGAAUUCCUGGUGUAGCGGUGAAAUGCGUAGAUAUCAGGAAGAACACCGGUGGCGAAGGGCGGCCCUCUGGACGGAUACUGACGCUGGAGACGCGAAAGCGUGGGGAGCAAACAGG